rnacentral:lncRNA from 1 species
UUACUUCAAGAUUGUUUCAGCACCAAUGUACAACCAGUGUUUCUUUCUAUUUCCUUGGUACUCCAGGAAGCAGCCACGGAAAGACAGAAGAUGAAAGCUCCUAUUCCCAACUUGAUUCUCUUGUAUGCUACUCUGACUCAGAGCUUGAAGGUUGUAACCAAAAGGGGAUCAGUUAUCUUCUACUGGCCACUC